ACACACACACACACAAACCACACACCCCCACACACACACGCGCGCGCGCGCGCACCACGAUAUAAAGACGAUCGCAUGAGCAAGACCAGUCUUAGUCCUUCUGGUGACCUUAGCUGACCUGUACUUCUGGGAAUCGGCGUCAUGACCAAAGCUUCACUUCUUGUCAUUUUACUCCUGACCGCGCUGCUGCUGGCGCCGGCGACGGAGGCGCGGCCGCGGUGGUGGGGCCGAAGAGGGUCAUCUUCAGCGGCUGCGGCGGCGGCGGCGGCGGCAGGAGGCGCAGCCGCCUCGGCUUCGGCUGCGGCAGCAGGAGGAUCAGCAUCAUCGGCGGCUUCUGCUUCCUCGGCUUUUGGAUAGGAGGAGAGGGACAGAAGAAGGAUCAAAAGAGGAUCUGAAAAGGUGGAGGAGAGAUGGUGAGAUGGUUGGAGGGGGUGGAAGGGACUAACAAUAAAUACCUUUUAAAUUCU